CCUACGGGUGGCAGCAGUGAGGAAUAUUGGUCAAUGGGCGCGAGCCUGAACCAGCCAAGUAGCGUGAAGGAUGACUGCCCUACGGGGUGUAAAUUUCUCUUAUAAAGGAAUAAAUUGCUGCACGUGUGCCUUUUUGUAUGUACUUUAUGAAUAAGGAUCGCCUAACUCCGUGCCAGCAGCAGGGGUAAUACGGAGGAUCCGAGCGUUAUCCGGGUUUAUUGGGUUUAAAGGGUCCGUAGAUGGGUGGUAAAGUCUGUUGUGAAAGUUUGCGGCUCAACUGUAAAAUUGCAAUUGAUACUGGCAGCCUUGAAUGCAGUUGAGGUAGGCGGAAUUCGUGGUGUAGCGGUGAAAUGCUUAGAUAUCACGAAGAACUCCGAUUGCGAAAGCAGCUUACUAAGCUGCCACUGACAUUGAUGCACGAAAGUGUGGGUAUCAAACAGGAUUAGAUACCCCGGUAGUC
rnacentral:rRNA from 1 species